CUCAUUUCUGCGCAUGCCCCAGGCCUCAAUUUCUAGUGUUUUCUUGUAGUGUUUGAGAACUUCCUUUUCAGUUCGCGCCCGGACGUCGGGAGUGGACGGUGUCCUGGUUUUGUUAGGGAACGCUUAUACGAAGCUCCUGUCAGUACGCUUCGAGUUAGGCGACUGUUAGGCCUCUCUCUUCAUUCUGAGGGGCGUCGAAAUCCUGCGGUGCCGCUGGGUUUGCGAGAACAGUUUUUCUAAAGAAAAAGAGGCGUAGGUCGUGGGCGAAGAUGUCCAACUACAUGAACGACCUGUGGCCCGGCUCUCUGCAGGACUCCCCUUCCGUCCCCGGGUCGGAUGGGUCCAGCCGGCUGUCCUCGCGAUCUGGGAGCCGCUCCUCUUCCCGAAGCUCCCGCUCCGAGCCCCGCGGCUCCAGCCGCUCGCCCUUCGGGAGUCGCAGCCGACCCCGGAGAAGGAGCCGAUCGAGGUCGCGUUCGAGGAGGCGCCACCAGCGGAAGUACAGGCGCUACUCGCGCUCUUAUUCGCGCAGUCGGUCCCGAUCCCGCGGCCGCCGCUACCGGGAGAGGCGUUACGCGCCGCCCCGCAGGUAUUUCCGGUCUCCCUCGCCGCGCCGCUCACGCAGUCGUUCGCGCAGCCGCUCGCGCUCCCGGGGGAGGUCGUACUUCAGAAGGUCGCACUACGCCCUCGCUCGGGGCCGUCGGUUCUACGGUUUCGGUCGCACUGGGUACCUAGAGGAGCGCGCCAGGUGGAGAGAGAGAUCGAGAUCUAGGACGAGGUCACGGAGCAGAACCCCCUUUCGUUUGAGUGAAAAAGAUCGAAUGGAGCUGUUAGAAAUUGCAAAAGCCAAUGCAGCAAAAGCAUUAGGAACAACUAACUUUGAGUUGCCUGCUAGUCUCAGAACUGUUUCUGUAGUCAAAGAAAUAAGCCAUGGAGCAGCUGUAGCAGGUGUUGGUGCAAAAUCUGAGAAAUCAUGAAUGUGGUCUCCAGACUGAUGAAGAAAAUCUGUUGGUAAUUGGUACAUGGGCCAAAGCAUCAGAGGUUUAACUAAGUUUAUAUUCACACACUAAAAACUUAGGGUUUUUUUCUAUUGUUGUUGUUCCAUGUGCAUGCUAGACUAUGGGACAGGUACUAUUCACGUAUGGUUACCAAAGAAAAUUUUUAAAUUAACUGAAGGUACAUUCUGUAAUGGUAGAUAUCCCUUUUAUAAUACAUGCAAUAUAUUCCAGAUAUUUUGAGAGAUUACAGAAGAAGAGCCUGCUUCACAUGCAGAUAAGUUUAUCACAAUUCUCAAGAAAUCUGCAGGGUGUGCAUUGGCAAAUUGCCCUGUAUACACUUUUGUUAUGUGAAAUUUAAAUUUAGGAUUGAUAGCUUUAAAGGUUUAAAGUAGAGAUUGAUUAAAAACCCAGUGAAGAUACCCUUUCUAAAUGAACUUUUAUCUUGAACCCCCAAAUGUGGGUCUACUGACUCCUAAUAGAAAAGUAGUAUAAGGUCUUACUCAGAUCAUUAGGUAUCCUACUGGUAGAUGCCUUAGUUUCUUGAAACCAGGCAAUUUUUGGUAUGACUUUAUUUUCGAGAGUUACUUGAAUUUGCAGCAGGAGAAUAAAGUACAAGGAAGUGUGCCUUGUUCCUACUAUGACAAUAGGUUAGGGUGUUAACCCUGUGACGUUAGUUACAAUUUGAUUGGUGCAUCUGUGACUAAAUUUAUACAAAAUGAGCCCAUUCUGUUUAUAUAGAACUUAAAAACCAAGUUUUUUUUUUUUUUUUUUUUAAAUUUCUCUCUUUUGCUUGUCUAGCUGUCAGAAAAGGUAACAGAAGGUGGAGCUAAGAAUUCCAAUGAAAAACCUUCCCAGCAAAAAAACAUAGUUUUUAGUGCUAAUAAUUCUGUAGCAAAACCAAUGCAGAAAACAGCUAACACAGCUGCUGAAGAGAAAUCUUCAGGAUCACCAAAAAUAGAUAAGAAAAAAAGCCCAUAUGGGCUGUGGAUACCUGUGUAAAAGAAGAAAA